rnacentral:misc_RNA from 1 species
GACUGCUCUGCUUAUGGCUGCUCCACUGGCUUUAGGAGAUGUGGAGAUUGAAAUCAUUGACAAACUAAUAUCUGUACCUUAUGUCGAAAUGACUUUGAAGUUGAUGGAGCGAUUUGGUAUAUCUGUGGAGCACAAUAGUAGCUGGGACAGGUUCUUUGUCCGAGGAGGUCAGAAAUACAAGUCUCCUGGAAAAGCUUAUGUGGAAGGUGAUGCUUCAAGUGCUAGUUACUUCUUGGCU